CACACCUCCCGUUGCACCUCUCGUCCUGGACCGACUCUGAUCAAACAUUAUUACUACUCCAGAAAUAUCUAAGCCCUUUAUCCCGAUUUCUCUCAUUGAAACUCCGAAAGAAAUUGUUCCUUUUAACAAGGAUUUUACAGAUGCAACAGCCGCGGAAUGGAACCUUUCUCUGGUUGGAUACUCUGUCAGUAAACGUCCCUACUACGAAUCUCUUCUUACUACUGCUUCAAAGUUGCGAUGGUUUCAUCGAUAUGGAUGAGUUUGUUUAUAUGAGCAAGGAUGAUAGAAUUGCCUUCUUUUUCCCUUUGGAUGGAAAUACUGGGGGCUACUGCAAACAAGUUAGAGCACCAGCAAUUCCUAAGCCCGUGAUGGGGGAAGUAUCUAUCUGAAUGUAUUUCUGGUUUUUUAUGGUUGUUUUUCUGAGGUUAUUUUUUGUGGUGGUAUAAUUUUGUUGGAGUUAUAGCUGUUUUUUCCUUAACUCCUUGUAGGGUUUUGUAGCCUUUUUUGCCUGGUGCUUUUGCACCUUUUUUGGUUCUUUUUAUAAGCUACACAUGUAAUUUAUUUCAUUUUAAUGAAAAUGGGAUAAGCCCUCAAUUCUUCCAAAAAAAAAAAAAUAUGAAAAGACAAAAUCCACAUGAAGCAUAGGGAUGGCGUGGUUUUUUGAGGCGUUGGUUGGAGUUGUUUGAGCAAAAUCCAGAGAAGGCUGAGGGUUCCACAUGAAAUAGGAAGUGAAUUUGCAGGCUUAGCGACGUGAUUUACCUAUGGAGGGGAGAUUGAUUUUGUGGCUGGAGGUAGGCUCGUGUUUGACAACAAGGCAGAUAGAGCAUGUUCGGUAUUGCUGGGGUGGAGAGGAGAGGCGUUAGACGUGGAGGCUGGAUCGCAUGAGAUACCGAGAGACAGGGAUGAAGAAGUUCGAAUGCCUUCCCCAACUGCUCCUACCUGUCAUUUUAAAGAAAUGAGGGUUGUUAUCUUGAUUUAAAUGAAGAGUUGCUCAGUUUGGAAGCAAAUUGGGUGGGGUGGGACCCGCUCAAAGGAAGGUAUUUUGCUUCAGAAUUUCUUUGUUAUGUGCUUUUUUUAGUCAACAAAUUCAUGUUUUUGACUUAGAACAUUAAAUCAUUCUAUGCAAAUGAAGAUUGUCCGAACAA